UGGAAGAACUCGUGAUGGUGAGCUGC
rnacentral:piRNA from 1 species